AAAAGCCUCCAUAGCCUCCCAGGCCUCCAUAGCCACCAAAACCGGCACUGCGUCCAAAGGUGCCACCCAAGCCCGAUCCGACGGCGGGGACUCCUGCUGAGCCAACCACAGCAUUCUGUGGGAAGGAGCUGAGGAUGGGCCCGGGGAAGGUGACCACGGUGGCC